rnacentral:lncRNA from 1 species
AUGAUCUUCAUAAUCUUUAGGCAGGACUUAAAAUUAUGUGGAAGCCUUCACCAUUUUCAGCUGGAAAAGAGAAAAAAGUGUCAGUCUUUUCAUAAAUGUCAGAGCCAAUGCACCAAAACAUCAAAGUACAGACUUGGUUUUUACCAUGUUGAAGUAGUUCAUCCCUACUAUGAAAUCUUGAACUUGAAAUGUGAAGUAUCAGCUCUUCAGACUAAAUGUGUGAAGAAUAACUUUAAAAAAUCUCUUUGGGUUGCAGUUAUUUCUGAACUCUUCCUAUUACACUUUAAACCACCUCAUUUGACAGUGACAGUUAAUAUCAUAGAAAGAAGUGAACAUCUGCAAGACCAGUAUAAAUCAUUAGCAUAUGUUUUUAAUGAUCUAUUUUGUGAUGCUCAGCCUUAAACUAGAAAGCCAAAUGGAAACAGUGUUAAAAAAAACAUCCUGGGGAUUUUAUGCUUAGAAGCUAGCAGGACCAACAAAAGGCUUAACAACUGAGACAAAUGGGUCUCUAACAAUCACUAACCACAUGAAUAGAUUUUAUACAAUGCAAAACAAUUAGUUUCAAGUUAGGGUGCUCAUAAAGUGAAGCACACUUUAAAAAUACACCUCAUCUAUAGCAAAAACAUAGCUUUUAAAAAUUUCCUACUUGUACCGAACAAAAAGGUUAUGAUUAACAAUUGGGAAUUGGAUCUUCAAAGUUGGGACAGUUUCUGUAGGUAAAGUUUGCACAGAGUCAAAGUUGUCCACCAAUUAUAGCAAUUUCCUGGCACCUUUUACCAGAAGCAAACUGGACUCCCAAGAAAGCAUUGGAUUAAUCUGAAACAUUAAAAGGGAGACUCACACCACCUACAGAGGACACCUGAACAACAAUCUCAGUGGACUCAGGUUGGCGGCAUCCCCAUUUAACUGCAUGCACACAAUGAAGAUGGUUCCACCCAUAUGCUGACAGCAUGAGGCAGGGAAAUUCAAGUCUACUAGUUGACGCUAAACAACAGCAUUACAAGAGCAAGCAACUGUUAGGCCCAGGAGACGCGCUAGAGCCUUCCCAGCAAAAUGGCAACAUCCUGUCUACAGCAGCAACCUACUGAGGACAAUUAUUUACCCUCAAUGCAAGAACAGAAUUUUAUAGACAAUUCUGCCAACUGUCAGGACUUGGUUAACACUCGAUUUCUGAAUUUCAGAGGUACUACUGCCAGGACUUUUAAAUUAUUUUGAAACCUCACCAUUCUCAACAAUUACUAACAGCAAGUACAGUUCAGUGAUGGUUGACUGAAUUUUAAAUGAGGUUUGUUAUUGAACGCUGCACUGGUUCUGAACUGAAAGCUUGGGGAAAGGACUGAGGUGCUACACAGAGGCUGAAAGGUCUGGCUGAGAGGAGGAGGAACUCAUGGGUAUUUUCUGCUACUACUGUGUGCAGGUUUUUUUGGGGAGGGGGGUGUGUGGUAAGUCUGCUGUUACUCUUUGGUUGGGAAAGCCUUACUAGGAUAGUAUUCUGCUUUAAAGAAGGCUCCUUGGUAGAAUAAACAAGACUGUUUAAACAAGAUAAAAUAGACUGUCAGAAAAGACACUGUACCUUUUAUUGUGGUGAAUAAGAAACAACUCUCAUCUUGAAAGUUCUGAACCAUCUACCAAAAAAAAAAUUUUGAAAACCCUCAUGAGUAUGACCAAUGCAAACCCCAAAUACAUCAGAUAUUAAACAGCCUUUUAUAAGUAAUUGCAUAUUUCUGUAAGUGACAAGCAGAUACCAAAUUAAAUUAAAAUACAUUACUGUCAAAAUACUGCUUGUUGUGACAACCAGUUGGCAGCCUAUUACUGUUGGCUGUGUUUUUGGAACUCUAAAUAGGCGUAGCAGAUGCCUGAAUAAGCAGAGUUCAACAGUAUUUAAACACUCCCUGCCUUUGGGAAUGUUCAAAAUAAACACAUACUAAUUACUGCAGCAUCUCAGAACUAUAUAGACCAGUUGCCUUUCUCAUCUCAUAAUGUGUAUUUAUUCAGGUAGAGGAAGAAUGACAUUUAAAGGAUCCUUCUGCUCAUUCUAAUGUAAAGGAAAAAAUACUCUAAAUAUCAGAAAAUACUAGGUUGAAUUAUCAAACAGAAAAACCCACUAAUAAAGAAGCAAGCAUAAGAAAAUCCUCCAUUCUAUUUAAUUCAUAAAUAAAAUCUGUCAUGAAAAUAAAACUUCCAUUACCUGAUCACUAACAAGAAUGUGGAUACCUGUGGGACCUUGUCUGUAAACCUGGUUGAUCUGAUGCAAAGGAAUAUUAAAUGCCAGAGCAAGCUUGCGUGUGACUUCUGAGGCUGCCAUUUCUUCUAAGUAGAUUGCAUGAUAAACUACAAGAAAAAAAAAUUAUUUACAUAAGCAUAGUACUAAUUGAUAACAAGUAACUAUAUGAAAAAAUCCAUAUUUGCUUAUACCCCAGCUUUAAAAAAAUUUAAAAGCUAAAAACCUUUACUUUACUCUCCCCCUGCUCUCACUGAGAAGCAUGAACUGCCAUGACAUUUCUUUCAAGGUGAAGUCAUAAGCACAACUCUCGGACAAGGGGGAGGCUUCCAUUUGCCCUGAUACUGACGGCAACGUCCACAUUUUUUUGCCAUAUCCUGCACAAAAAGGCAUAGUCAUGUCAAACAGACUUAAAUGGAUCUUUAGACAGUUACCUAUAGAUGACUUGGGAGGUAUUCUGGACUGUCUCAAAAGAAGCAGAUAAUACAUGUAAGACUUACACUACUGCACUGUCGCUUCAAAUAGGUAUGUAGUUUUUUUUUUUUUUUUUUGGUAAAGUCUUUUCCAAUUCUCUGAAUAAAUUUCCUACAGAUCAUCUCAGAGCUGAAGAGCGGUGGCGGAGAAAAUACAACACAGCAAACAAGCUGAACAGUAAGACAAAGUAGCUAUUCAGUUUGAUGCUGUAUUUACAGUUCUGUAGCUUUAUUUAAUAGUGCUAGAAGCCCUUGGCAGCUCCAUUUUUGCACAUUAUUCCGUCCAAAACCAAAGACUGAAGAUAUCCAGAGGGAAAAAAUAUGUAUUUGGGAGUAUCCUAUUUACAGAUCCUCCUCCACUUCAAUUCUCACAUGGAAAAUACAAAACUACUAUUACAGCUGCAGCCUAUAUAGGGUUUCAGUUGGUUGGGGAGGGAGGUCUCUUCACUCAAAGCCAAGAGCAAGAAAUGAACCAUUUCAACUAGCUCCAUUCUCUUAAUUGUAAGAUUGACAUGAAUUUACAAUUAAAUAGUAAGUUCCCAUCUGUGUUGAAACAACAGCUAUCUUCUCAGGAAAAUAAUACUAAAAUCAUGAGCCCAUACACUGCUUGGUUGUUUUUCCUCAUCCAAGCUCUACCAGUUUUAGUUCAGCUGCAAAGAAAAUGACAGCCAAACCUAACAGAAAAUGGGAAAGAUUUGAAGUGUUUUAUUUGCACAUAGCUUUUGCAUGCACCUUCAUUUAUCUGGUUAAUACCUUGUCUGUAACAACAGUUAGCACAGCUAAUUUGAAGCUUCUUAAUUAAUUACCAGAUGUCAUUGUUUAACCCCAGCCAGCAACUAAGCACCACGCACCCACUCACUCACUCCCC